UUGAAACACAGGUUUCCACCACGAUCACUGAAGUUAAGCAACAUCAGGCCUGUUUAGUACCUAGAUGGGUGACUACUUGGUAAUACCAGGUGCUGUAA